GGUCUUGUAGUUUAGCGGUUAUGACACUGGUUUUUGAUACCAGUAACCCCGGUUCGAACCCGGGCAGGACCU
rnacentral:tRNA from 1 species